rnacentral:lncRNA from 1 species
GUAAACCAAUAGGCAUAAUAUAUCACAUUAAAAGAAUGAAGGAUAAAAAUUAUGUUUCUAUAUGCAUUUGAAAAUUUAAUAUCAUUAAAAACUUUCAACAGAUUAGAAUGUGCCUCAACAGAAUGGCCAUAUUUGACAAACACAACCAACAUACUCAACUAUAAAAGAUGAAAGUUUUUUGUCUAAAAUCAGGACCAAGAGCAGAAUGCCACUCUUACCACUUCUACUUAAUAUAGUACUGAAAGUCCUAGUGAAAGUCCUAGCUAGAGAAAUUAGGCAAGAGAAAGAAGUAAAAACCAUCCAAAAUGAAGAGGACUAAGUUAAAUUGUCCUGAUUUUCAGAUGACAUGUCUUAUAUAUAGAAAGCCCUGAAGACCCCACACACAAACAGAAAAAUGUUUAGAAUAAACUCAGCAAAGCUUCAGGAUAUAAAAUCAACAUAAAAAUUUGUUUUUGUCAGUAAUUUCUGCUCACUUAGCUUUGCAAUAGGUGUUUAUUGCCUUGUGUGGCCAUUUGCAAAAGAUGUGGGUAACAUUGAUAACCAUUAGUAUUUCCAUAUCUCAGGAUCAUCCAUUUCCUCUGAAUUUAGUCCUGCCAGAACCUGGUAGAUUCGAUCUCAUUUGCAGGUAGAUACAGUGUCUGAAAAUGAUUAGAUAUUGUCAGUCCCUUUAUCAAGGGCUUUUAAUUGCUUUUCUCUCAGCAUUGAAGUACUGGAAAGCAGAGGAAGGAAGUUAUGUCUUUUUCCCUCCUGCCAGAUAACCAAAAGUCUUAAUUUACUGUUAUACACUCAGCAUGGCUC